CAAGUCUCAGGGUCACACCUGGAGAGUUUCCAGAACUCUACCAGCCUCGAUUAAGGGAGGGAGAGUCAAGCAGAUGUCUACUUAUUCCAUUCCUAGCUUGGGCAGUGGCUAGUGAGUGGAAGGCAAUCUCCUUCAAAA